rnacentral:lncRNA from 1 species
CCAUUUAAUUUUAUAGGUUGAUUUGGAUCUUAUGCUCAAUGGCCCUACUUGUCCUAAUCCAACCCUAACUCUAGUAUUGAACUUGGCUUCCCUAUUUUCAUCUUUUAUCAUUGCCGCCUCCUUGAUCUUAAAAGAAAAUGGCUAAAUGAAGAUCUGAAAGUAAUAAAAUGUUAUUGUUCUCUCGGCAUUUCAUUUUUGUGCCUUAGAAAAUUUGUUCAACCAAUCAAUAGUAAUG